UUCAUCUCAAUACAUACUAGAGAAUAUUAUGUAUGUUCGGAAAAACAUCCACGAAUUCAAGCUUAUGUUUGUUUCUAGUGUUAUAGUUAUGGAUAUCACUGUUAACCUUGAAUUCGUGGAUGUUUUUCCGAACAUACAUAAUAUUCUCUAGUAUGUAUUGAGAUGCAACGGUAAGAAUGUUAACUUCUUUGAAUUUCUCUCUUAGGGAUACUCGAGCGCCCAGUCCAUAGAUGGAACGUACAGCUCGUUUUUGCAGCACAAAUAUUGUCUGAAUAUCUGCCGCUUUUCCCCACAACAGAAUUCCAUAAGACAUAACACUAUGGAAGUAACUAAAGUAUACCAGCCUGGCCGUCUCUACGUUUGUUAGCUGUUUGAUUCUCCUCACUGCAUAGGCUGCUGAACUAAGUUUUCCGGCUAGAGUGCCUAUAUGUGCAUGCCAUUGCAGUUUGGAGUCUAGAGUGACUCCCAGGAAAACAGUUCGAUCCUCAAAUUCCAGCGUAUCACCUGUUAUUUUAAUCUUGCUGUUAUUUACCUGCUUGACGUUAGGUAGCGUAAACUUGAUGCAUUUGGUUUUCUUGGCGUUCAAAAGCAAAUUGUUUGCCGUAAACCAGUUUACUAUGGUAGAUAGCGCGUCAUUAAUGCUCUCGAAGCUAUUUUCCUUUCUGUCCACUUUAAAUAUAAGGGAAGUGUCAUCUGCAAAUAACACUAUAUCAUGUCUAUCUUGCACAACUUUUGGUAAGUCAUUAAUGUAUACCAAAAACAGGAAGGGACCAAGAAUUGAACCUUGAGGCACUCCGAGGGCUACCGGGGACCCCGCCGAUUGAGUUCCAUUAAUAACUACUCGCUGAGUUCUAUCCGAAAGGUACGAUGAGACCAGGUCAAGGGCACUAGCUUUUAUCCCAUAGCGGCUUAAUUUUCUCUUUAAAUUUUCGUGAUCAACGCAAUCAAAUGCCUUUGACAGAUCACAGAAAAUUCCAACAGCAUCUUGAGCUUUUUCCCAGGCAUCAAAGAUGUGUUUUAGAAGUACCGCACCGGCGUCAGUAGUUGAUCGACCUUUGGUGAAACCAAAUUGAUUGCUAUCAAGCAGUUUGUUUCUGUUGAAAUGUGACAAUAGUUGAUUCAGAAUAAGUUUCUCGAACACUUUGCUUAAUGCCGGUAGUAUUGAAAUCGGUCUAAAGUUCGUGGGAUCUGUUCUUGUUCCUGAUUUAAACAGAGGGAUAAUUUUGCUAUGUUUCAUAAUAUCUGGAAAAAUUCCAGCAUCAAUGCAUCUGUUGAAAAUCUCAGCUAAGUAUGGUGUAAUUGACUCAAUAAUGGAAUCUAAUACUUUGACAGACAGGCCCCAAAGAUCUUCUGUUUUCUUUAAAUUUAAAGACCUAAAAGUCUUAAGAACUAUAUUCGGAGAGACAUACGAAAAUUUGAAGAUUUCUGUACAUUCUGCCACAUUUGUCUUCAAAAUUUCUUCAGCGACGUCUGGCGAUGAAUUAAGGGAUCUUGUUGUUUCUACCGGGAUAUUCGAGAAAAACCGCUCAAAAUGAUCUGCCACUUCACGGUCGGAACUUACUAAAGUGUCAGCAAUUCGUAGGUUGUAGUGCGGAUCCUUCAGUUUACGUUUCCCAGUUUCAUUGCUGAUAACUUGCCAUACAGUUUUGACUUUAUCGCUGGAAUUUAGGAUCUUUUUCGACAAAUAAUCGACUUUAGCGGCGACACACAACAUCUUAAAAGAUUUAGAAUAAUUCUUGACGUACUCCAGAAAUUCCGGUCUUUUAUCAGUUGCCUUUAAAUCAUAUAAGUCGUAGAGCCGGCGUCUUUUCUCGUGAAUAUCCGGUGUAGCCCAGUCGCUAAAUUUAGUCUUGGCCUUGCCUUGCACCUUUUUCUGAAUGAAACAGGCAUCAAAUUCCUUUUUAAUACAAUUAAACAACUCGGAACUCAAACAGUCAGGGUUUUCCUGGGUACAUGAAAGACAACAUAAUUGUUUAGUAAUAUUACGAUUGAAUAAACCUAGGCGACUUUCGGAAAUCGGCCUGCACAAAGUGUCUUGAGGAAUUUCUUCAGUUUUCCCACUGAAAGAAGCUUUUAGUCCACAGUGGUCAGAACUUAGGUUAUUAAUAACAGAUUUACUAAUCGCGUCAUUAUUACUAAAGAUGUUAUCUAUACAUGUAGCACUGGUUGCUGUGACUCGAGUGGGCUCACAAAAUAAAUUGACUAAAUUGAAGGAUUUGAAAGUAUUUAGUAACCUUCCACAUAAUGACGAAUUUUCUAGCAAAUUAAUAUUGAAAUCACCACAUACAAUUAUAUUUUUAUGACUUCCAAAAACACUACUAAGUACUUCAUCUAUGACUGAUUCGAAUAAGUUAUAGUCUGCCGAUGGGGGCCUGUACACGCAUAUAAUUAUAAAUUGUUCCAAUUCAACACAAGAAAGUUCUAUAAGGCGUUCCACAGACAUGUCAACAAUGUCUUUACGCUCCUUACUUUUUAAAUUAUGUUUUACCAUUAUCAAUGACCCGCCGCGAUUGCAAGAUCUCCUAAAAAAUGAACUUACUAUACUAUGAUUAUUGAAAUUAAACAUAAAUUCAUGACCUUUAAGCCAGUGCUCAGUUAUACAGAGAAUGUCAAUAUUCGAGUACUGUAUAAACAAAUCAAUUUCGUGUUCCUUACAGGUAAAUCCUUGGAUAUUUUGAUGAACUAAGUUCAAUAAAUUGGUUUUACCAAACAUACUAGCAUCACAGUGAUCAAUAGGAACGGAGCCGGCUGGUGCACACGUUGUCGUAGCGGUUAGUUUAAAUUCAAAUCACCAGGCGGCUCCAUUUCAAACCCUACGCUACCAAGGCGUAUAAUACUACGUGACUUAAGGCUAUUAGACGCCGUGCUAGCCACGACGGGGUCUUCAAUAUUAUAUGCUAACAGGUUAGCACACUCUACUAGACAUCUUCUCGGUAGGUAGGUUCUUUUAUGGGGCAUAACAAAAUCUUCUAUAAAUUUAUUCGUAUCAAAAUACGAAAUCGUACUACUGUACAAGGAAAGGUUAUACAAUAAAGAAUUGUAAUGAAAUACCCUCUUAUUGACCUUGCUCGA